CCGCAUAGAAAAUUACAGUUUGUAAUAAACUCCAAACAGUAUGUCUGCUCUAUCUGUUAUUGUUAAUGUACCACAAACAGGCGAUUUUCUGUUGAAAAAUAUUAAACUAGAAGCAUUUAAUCAUAAAGAACGGUCUGAGUCACUCAUACCAAAUUGUAACAAUAUGAUAUACUGUGCAGAAAUUGUGAAAUAAUAUAGCGAUGGAAAAUCAUGAGUCAUGGUUGCAAUAUUGAAUGACCUUUUCUCAAACGGUUUGAGAUUAUAUUUUCAUAAAACACUUACACAUGUGCACAAUACUGUAUGCAACUUAUAUUCAACAGUUUGACAAACAGUUGCGUACAUUGGUAUCUGUACCGACCGGUACAACUUUGCAUUUGCAGUUUGACAGUUUUGUAGAAAAAGAAAAACAAAAUCUUUCGUGUGAUCGCGACUUGAAUACGUCGAAUAAUUUGGUUUUCCAACUUCAGAAUCUAAAAAUUGUGUUAUUACCUACAAAUCUGUGGAAGCUCCGUAGAAUCUCCUAAGUUGGCUGCUGCACGAAGGUUUCUUAGUUCCAGCUUUCCCAGUGGCGUAUUUCAACGGGAGUUUCCAGGAGCCGUAGAAGUAUGAUCUUCCGGCAAAGACCCGGAUGCUGUUGGGUAUUGUUCCCCGUUCGAUGUAUUACAACGCAACGGGAGAGUUUUCAUCCGGGAUUUGAUUGUGGUUGGCGCUAUGGAGGAGUUGUGGUUCACGUUUCGAACGGAACAAAACAGAUCGGGUGCUGUAGUACGCAUCAUUGGAACCAGUAAACAGAUCCGGGUGCUCGCUCAAAAUACCGAAUCGAAACGCCGAAGGGAAUUGUUAACACCGGUUGAUCUAAGACAAAGCAAAAAUUGUAUAUAUUUUCCUAAAACUUGUUAUACGUAUAUAAGAUUUAUCAUGAAAUAUGUAGCAUCGUUACAGCAAUUUUUCAUUAACAUAAAUAAACAUUUUAUUUUUGAA